AGCUAGAAACAAUCAAAAGAAAAUAUUUCGUUUUUUAUGAAGUUUAAGUUUCCUUUUGGAGUACGGAGCGUCCAGCUCUGUGAAUGAUGUAAGUUUUGAAGACUAGAGGCUUCCUUUCAUCGAGUAUUUGUUUUGUUUCAAUUCGCCUUAUUCACCCGGAACUUUCUAAAGACGUUGAGGGGUACACUUCAGGGAUACACCCGGCGGCACACCAGCUGUUUGGCGCCUCACUGCUGUGUGCCCAAAUGUAGUCCUACGUCCUCAAAGAGAAACAAAUCCUACCGUGGACAGACUUUCCACCGUUUCGCCAAAGAGCAGGCACUUCGGCGUGAAUGAAUUUAUCACAUCAAGAGGGAUCCUGGUCCAUAUUUCAAGAUCAACGCUGAGACCGAGGUUUGAUCUGAGCACGUUGAGAAGCAAUGCUUUGUUAAGGUCACCCGUGGUAUGACAACGCUAAUAAAGGAUGCUGUGCCUGCCAACUUUGUUCGCCUGGACUUCAGAGAAGCCAAAGAGGAGAAUCAUCAUUCGCAUACCGUGUAUGGAUUCCAUGGAGUAUUCCAUCGAGUAUUUCUUUUGUUUCAAUCGUCUCGGU